ensembl:lncRNA
GUGUGCACAGUGAUUGCCUUCGUAAUUACUGAUGGGAUGUACCUGGGUUACAGCAGAUAAAAGAGAGUGGUGCUGCCCAGCAUUUAGCUUCAGAGUGAUGGGGGCGUUGUUUCUGUAUGUGCUUCAGCCUCAAUGUCUGCCCAAUGCCCAGCCUGGCUCAGCAGUGAGCUCUGGGCAGGGUUUGAGCACGGAGCUGUGGGUGCCUGGAUGAGCUGUGAGGCACAACAUGAGCAAAGCCAUAGCAAAGAGCACUGUGAGCAGAGGAGUACAUUGGACUGAGAGUACCCACCUCUGCCGGGAUCCACACAACUUCAUCUCUCCGAGCAGCACAGCCCCCAGUGUUGGACGGAUGGCCCCAAAACCUCUGAGGUGGUGGCACAGAUCCAUCAGCAUGUGGAACACAGGACCGCAGCGUGGGCUGGCAGCGCCAGGAUUGCACUCUGUGAGCAGCAGUGAUUAUUUCGGAUUUCUGCUAUUUUUCAGUAAUCGGAGCUCUUCCUGAGUUUUCCUCAGCUCUCCUGUAGAAUGGAAUUAUCAGAUUUCCAUGGCAAUUAAAGCAGAAAGCUGCAGGCACGCGGAUUGCUCCGUACGAUGGCUGAUGGGGAACAAGUGGAUAGAGGCUGCGAGAAGGAAAGAGGAUUUUCACGGCUGCUGCAGGGCCAGCCGAGCCUUGCAACGAGCUGCAAGCUCCUGCAGCACUUCUUGCCUUUCCCUCGGUGCAAAACACCCAGCGUGCAAUGAUGGAGAGAGCAAAAGGACUGGACUUUGGUGCUGGUUGGUUCUGAAUCCAGCAGAUGCUCGCUGGUGGGUGCAUGGGUGCUGCACUAUGGGAUGAUAGAGGGGUGAUUCUGUUCUGUGCUCUGCCCUUCCUGGGUCCCAUUGCUACUUGCAAAAUCAGGAUCAGUCCCUGCAAAGCCUGCCAGUGGCUCAGGAGCUGCAGGAAACUCACCAACCAUCCACCCAUCCCACCAUACCCACAGUGCUGUGUCCCUAUGUGCCACACCUGCACCAUGCAGCAUGUGAGUCAUGGCUGCUCUUCCACUUCAACAAAGGAAGAGCCAACCAAGCCAAGGUAACACCCACGGUGAUGAGGUGAAGGGCUUAAUUACUCACUGGAUUUCACUGCCACACCAUUUCUGAGGCUGACUGCUAUGAUAUAUGUGAGGAACAUCAGACAUUGAUCACAAAAUACAAAGGGAGGAGGGAAAAGAAGUCUCCCUGUGGUUUGGAUCCUGAGCCCAGGGUUGCUCUCCACUAUGAAAGCAUGAGUUUUCAACUAGAAAAUGGCACUUCUGGCUGGGAUGCUAUUUUCUGGGCUCAGCCAGAGCCAGAAGGGGCAAUGCCACCCAACAGACCCUUGUCCCGUUGCUCUCAGGUGUUGACCCAUGUCUCCAUUCUUCAUUUGUCCCCAUCCUUGCUGAAGGAAAGCACGUCCCACGGAGGGCACUGGGCUUCUCCCCCAUGCUGCAGCCCAGCCCCCACUCCACAGCCAUAUGCAGCAUAUCACCUUCUCUUCGGGGUUGGGUUACCCUGCAGUAAUUCACUUACAGUUCACAAAUGAUAAAUCCUUGCACAGUUGGCUGAGAAAUCUGGGCUAACAAGGAAUGGAAGUGAAUUAUUAAAUCCAAAUGGCGCCAUGGCCUGUCCACUCUACUCCUCAGCCACAUUAACAACACCGUGGGGCAUGAUGACCUGCUGUGUGGCAAUAGCUGCUCCCAGGUAUGCCUGGGAUAGGGCUGUAGCUCCGGGUAGGGUGCACAGAGGUAUCCACCUCUGAAUUGCACAGCUGGAGAGAAAGAUGUGAGCUGUGUCCCAGCGUGGGUGUCCUCACAGCCCGUGUCAUACCCGAGUGAGCUGCUUCCAGCAGUGACUUAAAUGCAAACAGCAGAAAGCCACUAAAUCCUGACAUUUGCCCCUUCCCAUCAGGCAUUGGCACUGGCUGAUCCCUUUGUGCUUUCCAGAAAUAGCUGGGGCUCCGUGUGCCUUUCAGCCUUGGCUUUGGGGAGAGGUGAGGACUACAGAGGGAAAUCCCAGCAGCGGGACUGGCCCUGAUCUGCUGUGAAGUGAGUUCAUCUGACCUGCUCACCCCCGUGUGCCCUGCCCUGGUUUUAUUCGUCAGGAUUACAGACUUCAAAUACGCUGUAAAAGGAACCCGUAUACAACCCUUCAAAAUCACUUAAGUGGGCCAAUGACAGAAGUACCAGCCCUGCAAGUACAUACAGAGCACUGCGGAAAUCAUCCCCGGUGUUUAUUUAUGAGCCACUUUUAAUUAUUCAGCGGGAAUGAAUGAAAGAGGUGGAAAAUGGGAAGCGACAGAGGGCUUUGCAUUGAGUUACAGCUCGUGGAGAGCAAAGGGAGAGAUCACGGCGCUUUCAAGUCGCGAUGGUUGGAGGGUAUAAUUACACCCUGCUGCUUUAUGGGCCAAACCUCAGAGAAUUCAAUGGCAAACUGUGUUUCAGAGAGCGUGAGGAGCCCUCAGAAGGCUUCACACAGCACUGAGGAAGAGCAGAAUGCUUCACAUAGGCAGCAGCAGGCAUGGCAGAGCCCUGGGCUCAGCAAGGUCACCUGUCUGAAGGGGAGCUGCACGGACAGCAGUGCGAGUUCUGCUUGGCACGUCUGCAGGGAGCAGAUAUGGAGAAGGAGAAGUGCUGCGAUGCCACGUGGUUAGCUGAAAAGUGUUUUCUCUGCAGCUCCCACAGGAAAGGCCCAUGACUGAGAAAGAACAUGGUGUUCGUUCAUUGGGACAAGCUGAUCUUCAAGCUGAUUUGUGUUAAUUUGGAAAGUGAGAUCUUUUUUUUGUUGUUGUUGUUCCCCCUUUCUUUUUCCAGGAAAAAUGGAGCUGUCUGGUUUUGAUCACUUGGUGUGCUCAGCACCAAAGCCCUCAGAGUAAAUAUCUCCUAUGAAGGACAUUAAGGACCAACUCAUGGGGAGCAGCAGCAGGAAAACACUGCCAUAAACCCAAUACACAUCACGGUGCAUUCGUUUGUUACUUGGCACUGUAGCCGGGGCAGGGAAAACAUAGGAAGGCAUGGAGCAGAAUGGUGCCUCGGGGUGAUGAGUACAGCUGGGGCAGUGUGAUUAGCCCCAAGUGGCAGAGUCCUCCAUGCGCCCUGCAAGGCAGCUGAUGGCUCUGUGCUCCCUUUCCUGCUGGCUAUGGGAGGAAGGAGGGGAUGACCGGGCACGGUGCAAGCCAGCCUUGCUUUCCAUUCGAAUCCUAGAACCGUAGCCAAAGAAAACAAAGAAAUAGAAAAAGAAAGACGACGCACGGCAGCGUGCUGCUGCUGGAGGAAGGCCGAUAAGGCGGCAGCUGCUGCUCUUCCUCUGGGCUGCCCAGCAGAAAGCUGAAGGCAGCGCCGCCCGGCUCCUCACCCCAGCGCCGGGGAACGGCUUUAAGGAGCCGUGAUGCUCAGCGGGCUGAUAGGCAGAGCGGACGGCAGACCUUCCAGCUUCCUUCUGCCUUCCGAGCACACUCUGCCCAUUGGGCCCCGCUGUAGUGUCACCUCGGGGAUCUCUGUGGUGUUAAAGCGAACUUCUGCACAAGAGCGAGCAACUCCCGUUUGCACCCCCGCCGGUAUUUCUUCCCCAGAAGUGAACUUGCUGCUCUUCGCCGCGAGAUGGAGCCUUCAGAUCGAGCCCUUUCCCUUAGGGUUGGUGGUUGUCUAAAGCAAUUAAGCCUCAUUUAGAGAUCGCACGUGUUUAGUUUUCUCAGAUUACUAUCUGUGGGUCUUUAUUAUUUUUUUUUGUUAAUGAAUCAUAUUUUUCAUCAUCUCUCUCUCUUUUAUCUGAUACGAGGAAACUGCAAAGGCUGCCAGAAUGGGUGCUGCUCCAGCCCAGCUCUGCAGAGGAGGACAGUGAACAAUGCAGCUCUUCUUCCUGGAGAAGCAUCACUCACAGCAUCACAGAAUGGUUGGGUUGGAAGGAACCUCAAGGACCACGAAGCUCCAACACUCCUGCUGCAGGCAGGGCCACCAACCUCCACACUCCAUACCAGCCCAGGCUGCCCAGGGCCCCAUCCAACCUGGCCUUGAACACCUGCAGGGAUGGAUGGGGCAUCCACAGCCCCUCUGGCAGCUGUUCCAGCACCUCACCACUCUCAUAGUAAAGAACUUCCCCUCUGACAUCCAACCUAAAUCUUCCCUCCUUCAACGUUAAACCGUUUCCCCUUGUCCUGCUCGAUGCAUUGCUCGAUGCCACACCACAGGGACAAAGCAGCUGCAGAAAGUGUGUGUUGUGCAAAAGCUGGGGCACGAGUGGGGGCUAAAAGGGACACCUGGAUGGCAGCAUGCUGUCCUUCUCUCUGUUCACCUUCUAGCUCAAUUCUACUUCUGAAAUCUGCCCCCAUUCCAUAUCCUACUGUUCUUCCUGAAGGGCAACGGAAAAGGAUGGCUCUGCUCUUUGGCACCAGCAGAGCUGCUCCUGCCCUGCCUGCUGUGCACCCAUCUGCCACGCUCCUCCCCGGCCUCUGCCCACAGCCACGUCCCCAAAUACCCCGAGAUCUCACUUCCCUUUGGUUUCACUGCCUUUCAGCCCCGAGGGACCAAAUGUUUUGUUUUGCUCUGUGCGUUUCCACGUUCAUCUUUCAUCUUCUGUUUGAAGCUAUUGUGAAGAAGCUGCGAAAAGCAAUGUGGCCCUGGUGCUCCUCUGAUGGCACUCGGGCUCUGGAGAGGUGUCUGAAAGCUGACAGCAGAGCUCUGUGCUGCUGGGAGGAACCAACUUCUGCGUUUGGGCACCCCACUCUGUGGGGAUUGGGGCCAGGACGGGUUGGAGCAGAACCCCAAAGUCUGAAUGCAAUUCAGUGUUUGCCAGAAGGCAGGGACUGAUAAGGCCUGCUGGGCUCUCAGUGCACCUCUUUAGGCACAUAGUGACAAGGAAAAGGUUCAGCUCAGCGAGGAGCAGGCAGUGGCCACUGCUCUGCUGCCUCUGCCCUGUGUGGGCAGCCCUGCCCCGUGAAGCCCUUCCCUUCCCAGACUUAAAACCAACGCCCUCCUGAGUGCCUUCCUGUACCAGCUCCUUUCUGCUCUCUCUCUCUCUCUAUUUUCUGGGGUCACAGCAAAGAGCAGCACUGGGGCAGCACCCAUGGGACCAUAAUGUGUUUGUAGCACACGGACAGACACACGCAGAGCAUUGCUGCUGAGUUCACUGCAGGUCCUCUGGUGCUGCUGUCAAACCUUCAUUUUCAGGUGUUGGAAAUCAUUUGUUUCCCUUCAUCUGUUUUCUGUCCGCAGAUGGUGCUUCCUCUGUAGGUGAUGGACUCGAGGUGACAGUGAUGGCUCAGUGCUUCCUCAUAUAAGCAGAGCUCCAGAACCACCCUCAGCACAGUGCUGCGCAAUGGCUGCAAUGCUUCGCAGAGGAUCAGUGUGUGUAUGUAAAUGGCAGAAUGUUCUCAAGCAGCACUGGAUUUUGCAUUUUAGCAAGGAUUUCCUUCCCAACUCCUCCUUCCUCAGUGCUGCUCAGUACCUCUUUCCCACUCCUGCCCCUUGUUCUUCCCUGCCCAGCUCUUUGCCCUGCAUGGCACGUUCCAGCCCCUCCUUUCUUGCUGAUCUCUGUGAUUAAAAGGUGGUGAGCAACACGGUUAUGAAAGCAAUGAUCUGUGCUGUAUCUUCAGAGGAAUGUCCACCUGCACUGUCUGCAGGAUGGAAACCAGCAGGGAGGCUGCUCCUUACCCUUCUGGCGCAAUGAUUGAACAGAUACUGCCCUCAGUUAAUAACAAUUCCCAAUAACUCUUGAAAUGAAGCAGACACAGCUCUGCUAAUUAAGGUGAAAAAGCAGCUCAUCCAAAUAACUUUCCUCAGAAAGCACGUCCAAUGACACUUCUAUCUGUUACGCUGUGUGUAGUUAUUAUCCCCAGUAGGUUAUACAGGAUGCAAGUGGGAGAAUUUCUGAUGCUCUCAUUAAUUUUGGUGGCAACUUUCUGUACUGGGAAUCAUCAUUCACCUCCACCCAUUGGAAGCAGUUGAAUUUCAGGAAGGUGGCAGUGCACACAUGGCACAGGGUUAAAUUUGGGUUAAAGACAGCAUCAUCUCCAGGCCUCUGGCAAAUGAGGCGGAGUAAGCAGGACACAGCAGGGGAGAUCAGGUCCUUCACAAAUGGGAAUAUUCACUUGGGAAGAAGUAGGAGAAAAUAACCUAGAAAUAAGGUCACUGGUCUCCAGACAGCCCCAUGGGAAAGCCAAGUAGUGCUGAGAGUAAUUUUCCUGCUUAGUGUGGCAGGCGUGUGGGCACACAUCAUAGGGAAGUGAGAGCAAUACAGGCUUUGGACAAUACUAGAAACCCCAAGAGACCACGAAGAGCCCUUAACCCUUUGGGUAAACGGUCCCAUGUGAACACCCAGCACAUUAACUUAUUGUUGCACGAGGCUGGGAAAUGGUUUGGAUCUUAGUUUAUGUGAGCAUUACCAAAGAAUAAAACAUUGCAACAUAUCUGUCAGGAACUGUAUUUCUCUGUGCUACAAUCCUUGAAGAAGAGGAAGUAAACACACUGCUGGCUCUGCACGACUCUUCCUGUAGGGCAACUGCAUUGUCAUCCCCAGGAAAUGCAACACCAAGCCCUGAAAUGAUCUGCACUGUAAAGGGCUGCUACAAUUCUGAGAGCUGUUAAAUUGCAGAGGAACAGAGCUGUGUUUGAUUGGGCAGAACGGUCAGGUUCCUGGGAACCCUUCAUCCUCAGCUGUAUGGUGGAAGAAGAGUGGGGAGUCAGAAACAGGGCAUGGGGAACGUGGCCUCCUCCAUAUCACUGCAGCCGGGUGAGAUGAGGUUAUGGAGGAAAAGGCCAUGGUGUCACGGAGCAGAGCCACAGUUCCCCCCUGUCCCAAAGCUGUUCCCACCACUCCCCAGGGCUCUGCCUGAGCUUGAAUCUCAACACUGGUUGGGGUGUGAAUGUCCCAGUCAGACCAUAGGGAACUGUGGCUUUGUCGGUUUGUAGGUUUGGGUCUGUUGGUUGGUUUGGGUUUAUUUGUGGUGGCGUUGUCACUGUUUUGCAUUACUGAGUGCAUGAACCAGAAACUCAGAGUGUUUUACUCAGUCACCUGGGGAUUACAGCAGAUUCCAGGCUGACCAUGAGCCAAUAGCAUGCUUUUGUCUCAGACAGAGAAAACCACACGUUGGCUUACAGUAGGAUGAGGGAAACCAUUACCGCCUUCUACUCUGUGAGGCCUUUCAUUCAGCUUUGCUGCAGCUGCUGCUGGGCCAAGGACAUCAAGACACCACGUGUGGGGCCAGGAAGAAGAAAUGUGUGCAAUGGACACCUACUGUGGCUUGGGAAACCCAACUGAACAUUAGGAAUAUAAAGAUCAGUAGGGAGGUUUGGCGGUGGGUUGAGUAGUAUGGUUAGGUGGAGGUUGCAUGGUCUUGAAGGUCUCUUCCAACCUGAGCAAUUUGAUGAUCCGAUGAUAAGGCGGUGUAGUACUGGAACAGGUCACUGAGGCCAGUUGGAGACUCCCCAUCCUUAGGGAUUUUCAAGACUCAGCUGCACAAAACCCCACUGAACACUGAUGGAAGCUCUUCCUUGGGUGGGAGGUUGGACGAGACGCCCAACAGAAUUCCUCUCCACCAAACAUUUCCAUAUUUCUAUGACCUUAAAUUCAGGCAAAUGCACGUGCCCUUAGCACAAGUGUGUAAGAUUUCGAUGUAUUUCUAACUGCUUUCAGAUCCAGGGAGUUUCACACGAAAGUGCAACAGAAAAAAGUGUGCAGCUUUAAAGCAUUUCUUAAUCCCACCCCUUUAGAAUCUGAGUGCUGUUUACUCUGCUGUCUGCUGGAGAUCCAACACGUUCAAAAAUAGCAUGGCAUGGGGUCCCAUCAAAGCCUUCUAACAUCACCAGGUGUCUCCUCAGCAUGAAAACAAAUUCUUUGAAGAGAUUGCUUGGAAGAGGAAAAUAAAGUACCGCAAGUGAGCUCCUGUGCUGUGAUGUGGUAUCGGAUGUACAGAAAACAUCUGCAGUAAAACUCGUCUGCAAAAGUGAGGCAGGCAGAUUUCCCCUCUGUGUACAUGAAGAGCCACCUUUUCUGAAUUAAUAAUAAUAAAAACAAGGAUAAU